rnacentral:rRNA from 1 species
AGUGAACGCUGGCGGUAGGCCUAACACAUGCAAGUCGAACGGCAGCACAGUAAGAGCUUGCUCUUACGGGUGGCGAGUGGCGGACGGGUGAGGAAUACAUCGGAAUCUACUUUUUCGUGGGGGAUAACGUAGGGAAACUUACGCUAAUACCGCAUACGACCUACGGGUGAAAGCAGGGGAUCUUCGGACCUUGCGCGAUUGAAUGAGCAGAUGUCGGAUUAGCGAGUUGGCGGGGAAAAGGCCCACAAAGGCGACGAUCCGUAGCUGGUCUGAGAGGAUGAUCAGCCACACUGGAACUGAGACACGGUCCAGACCCCUACGGGAGGAAGCAGUGGGGAAUUUUGGACAAUGGGGGCAAGCCUGCUCCAGCCAUACCGCGUGGGUGAAGAAGUCUUUCGGGUUGUAAAGCCCUUUUGUUGGGAAAGAAAAGCAGCAGGUUAAUACCCCGCUGUUCUGACGGUACCCAAAGAAUAAGCACCGGCUAACUUCGUG